UACGAAGGGGGCUAGCGUUGCUCGGAAUCACUGGGCGUAAAGCGCACGUAGGCGGCUUUUUAAGUCAGAGGUGAAAUCCUGGAGCUCAACUCCAGAACUGCCUUUGAUACUGGAAAGCUUGAGUUCGGGAGAGGUGAGUGGAACUGCGAGUGUAGAGGUGAAAUUCGUAGAUAUUCGCAAGAACACCAGUGGCGAAGGCGGCUCACUGGCCCGAUACUGACGCUGAGGUGCGAAAGCGUGGGGAGCAAACGGG
rnacentral:rRNA from 1 species